ACUCCUACGGGAGGCAGCAGUAGGGAAUCUUCCACAAUGGGCGCAAGCCUGAUGGAGCAACACCGCGUGAGUGAAGAAGGGUUUCGGCUCGUAAAGCUCUGUUGUUAAAGAAGAACACGUAUGAGAGUAACUGUUCAUACGUUGACGGUAUUUAACCAGAAAGUCACGGCUAACUACGUGCCAGCAGCCGCGGUAAUACGUAGGUGGCAAGCGUUAUCCGGAUUUAUUGGGCGUAAAGAGAGUGCAGGCGGUUUUCUAAGUCUGAUGUGAAAGCCUUCGGCUUAACCGGAGAAGUGCAUCGGAAACUGGAUAACUUGAGUGCAGAAGAGGUAGUGGAACUCCAUGUGUAGCGGUGGAAUGCGUAGAUAUAUGGAAGAACACCAGUGGCGAAGGCGGCUACCUGGUCUGCAACUGACGCUGAGACUCGAAAGCAUGGGUAGCGAACAGGAUUAGAUACCCCGUGGUAGGAUAGCG
rnacentral:rRNA from 1 species